rnacentral:rRNA from 1 species
CCUGAUCCAGCAAUGCCGCGUGAGUGAUGAAGGCCUUCGGGUUGUAAAGCUCUUUCGCACGCGACGAUGAUGACGGUAGCGUGAGAAGAAGCCCCGGCUAACUUCGUGCCAGCAGCCGCGGUAAUACGAAGGGGGCUAGCGUUGUUCGGAAUUACUGGGCGUAAAGGGCGCGUAGGCGGUGUGUCAAGUCAGGCGUGAAAGCCCCGGGCUCAACCUGGGAACCGCGCUUGAGACUGGCACGCUCGAGUUCGGGAGAGGAUGGUGGAAUUCCCAGUGUAGAGGUGAAAUUCGUAGAUAUUGGGAAGAACACCGAUGGCGAAGGCAGCCAUCUGGACCGACACUGACGCUGAGGCGCGAAAGCGUGGGGAGCAAACAGGAUUAGAUACCCUGGUAGUCCACGCCGUAAACGAUGAGUGCUAGACGUCGGGGUCCUUAGGGCUUCGGUGUCGCAGCUAACGCAUUAAGCACUCCGCCUGGGGAGUACGGCCGCAAGGUUA